rnacentral:miRNA from 1 species
AGAGUUACAGUGCCUAGGGACACUGUGAUCUGAUUUAUUUCUCUUUAUAUUAUUUUAUUUAUCUAAUAAUAUAAAGAGAAAUAAAUCAGAUCACAGUGUCCCUAGGCACUGUAACUC